rnacentral:lncRNA from 1 species
GCCGGGGCGUCCCCCGCGGGAGCCCGCAGCCACCCGGGACGCGCAUCCAGACGUGGCGCUUCGGACCGGGCACGCUGCGCCCGGGGGCUCGGCGGACCCCGCGUAGCCGCCGCUUCGGAGCUUGUGCGGCGCGGGCUGGCCAGCGGGGCGGCCAGGGCCCGGCCCGCCUCCCCAGCGCCCGCCCGGCUUCUCCCCCUGGCGGUGGGAGCCUCGGCGGCCGCUGGCGACACUAGGCGCACUGAAGCCCGAGCCGAGCCGAGCCCGAGCCGCCGCCGCCGCCGCCGCUGCUGCGCACCGCUCCCGGGCUCCCUCCCAGCGCGCCGGCCGGGGUGUGGGGGGCGGCGGGCCGGAGGGGCGAGGGCGGGCCAGGGGGCGCACACGGGGGUUGGCGCGGAAGACAGGACCCUCAGCCUCGAGGGAGCCCCUAGGUGACCAGGCAAAAUGGCAGUUCCUUCCAGCUGGUCCUCAGAUGGGCACAUCUAUUAGCCUCUGCUCUUGUAAGAAGUUAGCUGCAGAACCCACAUGUGAAUCCUUGUAGGACUCUGGAGAAGAUCAAAUGGGAGCUUAGAUGUGGAAGCUCUUUGGAAACCAAGAAACACUCUGAAAAUGAAAAGGGUGGAAGAGUAAACUGUUCCUGUUUCUCCAUCUUGACAGGAAGCAGAAGUUCUCCUUAGCUGAUUUUUCUUCUUGCCUUAUACUGGGUUCUUUAACACCAGAACAAAAAUAAAUAAAUAAAAGAAUCUUCCAGAAAUUCAUGAAGAGACUUCAGGUCAGGAAAGCCUGAACUUUCUCAUCCAACACCCGUUCAAGUCGGAGGAUGCUGAUUAAUUCAUGAUGGAAAGGUAUCAAUUUCACAGCCCAGACCUCUACAUUCUUGAAAUGCUCUUCUCAUGGGAGACAUUAAAUAAGCUUUGAAUUAACUGUAAGUAAAUAAAUAUUCAAUUAUUUGAAUAGCACUAUAUUCUGUUUCAUUAAAAAUAUUUCUUACUUGAUUUUUCUCACCAAUAAAAGUAUUCAAAAAUGUUUAAUUCAAUCAUCAUCACAUCAAGAAUUACGAUAUUAUCUCCGAAUUAUAUAAGUGAUUUUCUGGUCAUGCACAUACCAGUUGUUCUUACUCUAUAUAAAUGUACUUUUUUGUUAAAAUAUAAUCAUUUAGUUUAAAAUUGAGAUAUCCUUGUUACUGGAGAAUUUCAAAUAUAUUUAACAACAACAAUAAAAAGCUUAAAUAUAAAUA